GCAAAUGAGAGGAGGUCAGGAGCAAUAAUGAAAAACGGUUUAUGACAAACAUUUUUCGUUAUUGCUCUUGACCCCCGCCCAAAAGAAAUCUUUU
rnacentral:pre_miRNA from 1 species